GAGGGUAUAGUUCAGUGGUAGAGUGUUUGCCUAGCAUGCACAAGGUCCUGGGUUCAAUCCCCAGCACCACCA
rnacentral:tRNA from 1 species